UCUGUGUACAAGUCCUUUACUUAUUUAUUUAAUUUUACAUUUAAUACAUAUUUUUUAUUACAAAGGUUGUGAGUUUACAAAGCAAUCAUGCAUCACUAUAGGUUUUCCAUAUGGUUCCGCACCACCCAUAUCUUGAAUUGUGAAACAUUUUUUAAUUGUUAAAAAAGCAUUCCAGUACUACUAACAAUGGUCCAUAAAUUAUCUUGGGUGUAUUUUUCCCAUAAACCACCCUGUUUAUCCUCUUUAUACACAUGAAGAAAACCGGGCUGCAGAAAAAGGAAUGAACUUUUCAAAGGCAGGAGAACUGGGAUUGGAAUAACAGCCUGAUUGCUAGACUUGAAUGGGCAGGUGCUGUGCUAAGUACUUUAAGUGUAACACUCCUGUUUAUCACUCACAGCACCCCUGGGAGAUGUGUCCUUUGUGGGUGCAGAAACCGAGCAGAGCAGAGACGGGAGGCCCCUGGGGCCCCAUUGGCUGGCCCACAGCCCAGGCUCAGGGCGGGAGCCCUGCCUUGGAACCUUGAACUUGGCGACCGCAGAAUAGACACGGCUAGCCGGUCCACACAGCUCGGGACGCCAUCGCCUUGGGAGGGGAAGGCAGGUUCUCUGGUUGUGACUGUGUCCAAGGGCACGUUGGACAGCCCGGCAGUGACAGGAAGCGUGUCCUUUAGGGUCCCAGGGGAGACACCUGGAGAGGAGCCCUGCGCGGUACCUGAGCCGGGAGAAGAAGGGCAGACGUGGCGCCGAUGCUCCCAGGGGGCCCAGGUCCGGUGCUGAUGGAGCCAGCCGCUUCCCUGCAUGUCUCCCCAAAGGGAGGCCUUCUCUUCCUCCUCUUCCUCAGCGCCUUUGGCCAGCUCUCAGGUAGGGGUUCAUGCCACUUUGCUCCUUCCCAGAAAGGAAAAGCUGCACUCAGGCCCCA
rnacentral:lncRNA from 1 species